CCUGCCUGUGCAUGUUGGUACCUGAGUCCUGUUUGUGAGUGGGGGCUGUAUUGGAAAUAUUUAACAACGUGUUCUGCCCAUGGAGACUGCACCGUCAGAGUGGACACUGCUCGUGGGAUCUCAGUUCCCCAACCAGGGAUCAAGCCCGGGCCGUCAGCAGUGAGAGCGUGGAGGCUUAACCACUGGACCACCAGGGAAUUCCCAGGAACAUGAUUUUUUAAGAGUUUAGAGACAAGGGAUGUAGUGUUGAUGUGAUUAAUAUCAUGGGAGAGGUUUGGCUAAGUGCAGAGGAAGCCCAGAAGAGGGACCCUAUUGGGGGUCCUAGAGGCUUCCUGAAACCUGAUCUAAAACUUGAAACUCAAAAAGGCGAGGGGAGUUCUGCAGCCAAAAAGAAAAAAAAAAGAAAAGAAAAAAGGAAAAAAAAAAAAAGUGGGAUG